GGCCCUGUCGUCUAGCCUGGUCUAGGACACUACCCUUUCACGGUAGGAACAUGGGUUCGAAUCCCAUCAGGGUCA
rnacentral:tRNA from 1 species